rnacentral:rRNA from 1 species
UACGUAGGUGGCAAGCGUUGUCCGGAAUUACUGGGCGUAAAGCGCACGUAGGCGGAUACUUAAGUUAGGGGUGAAAUCCCAGAGCUCAACUCUGGAACUGCCUCUAAUACUGGGUAUCUCGAGUUCGAGAGAGGUGAGUGGAAUUCCGAGUGUAGAGGUGAAAUUCGUAGAUAUUCGGAGGAACACCAGUGGCGAAGGCGGCUCACUGGCUCGAUACUGACGCUGAGGUGCGAAAGCGUGGGGAGCAAACAGG